AGAGUGAAAAAAUAUUUUGGUUGAGGCUUUAACCAGUGCUUAUCUGAAAAAAAAGGCAGGUUACUACAUGAAGAUAGGUAAGAACAAAAGUACUGUUGCUGCAGGAGCUGACCUGGAACCACUCUGGCAUGCAACAUCUGUGAACCUGAGCCACACCAGGGCCACCAAGAGCUGUGUGCAGUGAGGAAAAAGCCUUGCAGGCAGGACUGUGCCAGGCAGUUGUUAAAGGCCUGCGCCUGCCAAGCUCAGGAGGGUGAUUUUGGCAGCAUCCCGUAGGAACUGCCCUGCGCUAAGGCUGCCGUGUUCGAGCAGCAUCGAGAGCACUUCGAGAACCGCAGCCCUCGGUGCUUCAGCUCCGGCUGCUCUGCUCCUCCAUUCCCUCGCAGCUCAGCUCGCUGCUACACGCUCCUGAUCCCCGCAGCCGGUUGGAAUAGCACGAAAAUGAUGUUUCAUGGUAUUAAUGAAAUAAAUGCAGUGCGGGGCCGCACUGCAGUCUCCUGGCAGGAAACACAGGCUGACCCUGCGGCGCGCUGGGAAGCGGGAUGCGGAUCAGCCCUCUCCGCCAGCGGCGGUGCUCGCCCUUUAAGAAAAAGCCUGCAGUAAUUUUCCAUUACCCUGCACGGUCUUGUCGACGUGGCAGGAAUUGUUUGUGGAGGCUGGAGCAUCGCGGGUGAGGCGCAAGCCCCAAUCCGGCUGCGGUUGCCUGGCUACGCGCUCGGCAUGCCGGCCGCACGCCAGGCUCCUGGGAAGCACCUUUGUUCCCGAGAAGGGAUUUGAGUUGUGUUUUCAUGCCGAAAGCUGGGGACAAAUGCUGCUUUUUCUCAAGCAGCCUGGCAGAACCGGGCUUUCCAAACAACACGAGCCAGCCAAAAUUCUCAGUAGUAAUAACAGCGAUACGUGUGGAGUCCAUCUCUGGUGGUGGUUUCUCUUCCUUUGCACAAGGAAAUAUCUUUUAAUGACUUUGUGAUGUUUGUUUGCUGUUGCUCUGAUCAUAACAGUCACUUAAUCAAGCCAGAAAUACUGUCAGCAAAAUCCUCCCCCGCUCUUGUUCUUUCCAUCUAAUAAACCAGAUGGAUCGCUGUUGUUCUGCAACUUGA